rnacentral:lncRNA from 1 species
CCUCAUUUACGCAAAUAUUCUUACCAAAAAGCAUGUGAGACCCAUAUGUUUUUUGAGUCAACACAACCCAAAACAUCUGUUUGAAACAUAAAGUUAAAUCACUCCAGGUUUACAGGCAUGUUGAUUGGUAGAAAAAUAUGAAUCAUUACCUGGAUUUUUUUCUUAUCCAGCCUAAUCCUAUAUUUUCCUCCACAGAGAUUGACUCAUCAAGCCUAUUUCAUCCUCCUAGGAACAUAGUGAAAUUAAUUUCCCAGUCACCGUUGCAUCUAUGUGAGGCCGCACAACAACGGAAUGUAGUGGAAGUGAUACUGCCACUUAGGGGCUAAGGAAGUUCUCUUUUCACUUUCCCCAAUUGCUGAUUGGAUGAUACCAAGAUGAUCUUGAAACCUGGUGUCAAAGAUGGCAGAACUGCACAGGAGGAGAUGUGCCACCAAAUUGUUACACGGAAGCCCACCCACCUAACACCCAAUUGGACUGUGAGGUGAGCCAUUAGCGUUCUGGGGUUGUCUGGUGCAGCAGUUAGCAGACCUGGCUAACACAGUCCUCUCACCCUUUAGGUUGAGCAAACUAGAGAGUGCAGUCUUCAGAGUAAGUACCCUUGCUGCAUGGCGUGGUCAAAGAUGGUGCUCUUCAUGGGACUGACAACACUCCUACUGCUUACUGUGCCUUCACUGUGGUCUGUGGCCUCCCGAAGGCUCAGAUGUGGUCUGUGGCCGCACGCAGGGGUUGGGCUGCUGUUUGCCUGGUGCAAUCGAGAGGAAGAAAAAGACAAGAGCAGAAGUGGAGGAAGGCUGCGUGUUGCUCCACUCACCAGUUUCCACAUCACUCUGAGCUGAUGUACCAACUCCAGGGUGGGUAACAGUGUCCUGUCCCCAGGGGCAUGGGGUGACAAAUGAUCUAUGCCAAGUCCCAUGCAUUCCCCAUUGUACUUACAGACCUAUUCUAAUCACUGAGAGAAACUUAAAAUACUGGUGUGUGUUGUGGGCCUGCCCUAAGACUAUUGUCUUAGGUGGAGGUUGGGAGGGUCAGAGAGGCCACAGGGAUGAGGACUGGGCCUGCCAUUAAUUACUCUCUCUAGCACAUGGUGAUGUGGCUGGGUUGUGAUCUGAAAUGGAGAGGAAAACCAGUGGAGCUCAGACUGUAGACACAGAGUGGAAACAACUAUUGAUGAAUUAAAUACUAAAUCUAAUUUUACUCCGGACUUCUGGGCCACAGGCCUUCCUCAGUAUAAGAGGAAUGGAGAUUUGAAAUGGCUGUUUUUAUUCAUUUACAGGUAUUUGUACAGUUGUCACUGCUACCACCAGGCAUGGAGCUAGGGAGCUCUGUGUAAUAUAAGGGUGAACAAGGCAAAGUCUGUAUGUGUGCAUGUUACAUAAACAAGUAAUCACAAUUGAACGUGACAAGUCCUAUACCAGACACAUCACAGAGAGCUGUGGGAGCACCUCCAGAGGAAAGAAAGGUAAUAUCUGGGGGAUGAGAAGCAGUUCUGGGAGGUGACAUGUCAGCUCAAUUAAGUACCAUGUAUCAAGUGCCAGGCACGGUAUUCGCCCUCGGGUAGAAGAGGUCUGGAUGCAGGACGCCUGCUGUCAAAGCCAGGCCCAUAGGCCCAGAGGCAUGGAAAUGACAACCUGUUCCAACAAAGUUCAAGUUCAGAGUACCACAGCCCUGGGAGCCACAAUGUGUGCGUGUCCUGGAGAAACUGACGCCUGAGUUUGGUUUUGGAGCAUAAGUAAGAAUUUACUGGGUUGCAGGUAGAAAGAAGCAGAGGUUCAAAGGCUUUCCACAGAAAAGUGAAAAUAACGGUAUUUAUGGAGCAUUCAUUUGGGGACAAACACU